AUUUAAGUAGCUUAUGUUAAUAGAGUAUAACACUGAAGAUGUUAGUGAGAUUUGUUGAUCCUUGAAUA
rnacentral:tRNA from 1 species